GAUGAAGGACUUGGCCGUUAAGGGGACACUGGAUUUCACAAAUUGUGUGAGAAGGCUGGAAGAUUUCAAAAAAACAUUCCCAGGUGGAAAGACUCCCCUGGCUGAGUGCGUUUAUGAUUCUUGGAAGGAUGAUGCCUUCUUUGGGUACCAGUUUCUCAGUGGUGCAAACCCCAUGCUCCUGAGGCAUUCUUCAAGGCUCCCAGCCCGCCUGGUGCUGCCUCCAGGGCUGGAAGACUUGAAGACCCAGCUGGAGAAAGAACUCCAGGCUGGAUCUUUGUUUGAAAUGAUUUCUCCCUGCUGGAUGGGGUCAAGCCUGAUGUCAUCAUUUUUAAGCAGCAAUGCAUGACAGUCCCUUUGGUCAUGCUGAAGCUUCAGCCCGAUGGAAGACUCUUACCCAUGGUCAUCCAGCUCCAGCCACCUCGACCUGGACGUCCGCCACCUCUGCUCGUUCUGCCCUUGAAUCUCCCCACGGCCUGGCUUCUGGCCAAGACCAGGGUCUGGAGCUCUGAUUUCCAGCUGCACCAGUUACAGUCACUUGAUGGCUGAGGUUAUUGCUGGGGCUACAAUGAGAAGCUUGCUAGCCCUCCACCCUAUCUACAAGGU